AUACGGAGGAUCCGAGCGUUAUCCGGAUUUAUUGGGAUUAAAGGGAGCGUAGGUGGAUUGUUAAGUCAGUUGUGAAAGUUUGCGGCUCAACCGUAAAAUUGCAGUUGAAACUGGGAGUCUUGAGUACAGUAGAGGUGGGCGGAAUUCGUGGUGUAGCGGUGAAAUGCUUAGAUAUCACGAAGAACUCCGAUUGCGAAGGCAGCUCACUAGACUGUUACUGACACUGAUGCUCGAAAGUGUGGGUAUCAAACAGGAUUAGAUACCCUGGUAGUCCACACAGUAAACGAUGAAUACUCGCUGUUUGCGAUAUACAGUAAGCGGCCAAGCGAAAGCAUUAAGUAUUCCACCUGGGGAGUACGCCGGCAACGGUGAAACUCAAAUGAAGUGACGGGG
rnacentral:rRNA from 1 species